UACAGAGGUCCCAAGCGUUACUGAGAAUCACUGGGUUUAAAGGGUGCGUAGGUGGUCCGUUAAGUCAGUUGUGAAAUCCCCGGGCUCAACUCGGGAACUGCUUCUGAUACUGGCGGACUUGAGGCCAGUAGGGGUCACUAGAACUGACGGUGGAGCGGUGAAAUGCGUAGAUAUCGUCAGGAAUGCCGGUGGUGAAGACGGGUGACUGGGCUGGUUCUGACACUGAGGCACGAAAGCGUGGGGAGCGAACGGGG
rnacentral:rRNA from 1 species